rnacentral:tRNA from 1 species
GUCUGUGUAGCUUAACCCAAAGCAAAGCACUGAAAAUGCUUAGAUGGGCUUUAAUAAGUCCCAUAGGCA